GGGUCCAUAGCUCAGCGGUUAGAGCAACCGGCUCAUAACCGGCAGGUCUCUGGUUCGAAUCCAGGUGGACCCA
rnacentral:tRNA from 1 species